CAUCAACAUCUAGGAAUACUCUAUCUAUUGAUUUGUUGUUUUUUUUUUUUUCUUUUUCUUUGCAUUCAUUUAGAUUAACUGCUAUGGAGUCAGUAGUGGAAGUGAUGCAAGACAGUGCAGUUCUGGGAAUUGAAAGACAAAAAUAAUUUCCCAUGGAGGACUGGGCCUAUCAAUGUUUAUGAAUCUCACUAAUUGCCUUCCAACAAUGCUAAAGGCCCCUAGCUGAGAUCAGUGCCUGCCAAUGUCGACAGGUAUAUGGGGAAGGUUUCCUCUCACCUAACUCAGAACUGGGUGUCUGGCUGCAGGAAGCCCAAAUGAGGAGACACUUCUGUGAGAGGCAGCUGGAGAUCAAACCCACCCAGGAUGCUCUCCAGUCAGUAUCUGCAGCAACAAAGAAUCUUGCAGAUAGACAUGUAUUUAAAACAGCCAGCUCACGCACUGCUGGCUGUAGGCCCCAUCAGGAGGAAUGUAUUUUAAAGGACCAGCCCAAGACCAGGGGAGGAUAACUGACCUUUCAGUGAAGAAAAGCUGCCAGCAUUUUCAGCAAACCCCAGGAACAGCAUCCAAAUCCUGCAGUCCAAUGCCCAGACUGUUUCCUAUUCUCAGUUAUUUUACUUUGUGUUUUGAUAAUUUGUGAUGAAUAUUCACAUGUCAUAAAAAAGACCUUUAAAUAAAAUGAGAUGAAACUAAAGAACACAGUGGGUAUGGGAUGAGAAAUGAGACUUCUGUCACUCAGCUCCUAGGCCAUUAGAAACAUUCAGUUUUUCUCCAUAGGAAUCAGGAUUCAGAAACUUGAAGUUUCUUCUAUUUUAAGGAAGAUCUCGGAUCCUCAUGCGCUAACACUUGUCUCCAGGGAGACUACCGGAGGAAAAACAAAAUACCAAGAAAUGGGAGAGAAUUCAAAAGGGUUGGAAGUAAAGCAUUUGUGUUAGAAAUAUUGAUUGGUGUUUUUGGGAUUUAGUUUUCCGCUCGGUACUCCAAAGGCUUUGGACAUGGAGAGGUGCUCUAUUACUCAUCUUAUCUAUAAAGCUCUCCCCCUCACCACAUCCUGUAACAGCAGUCGGCAUGUUGUAUGGUAAUUAAAAGGUGAUAUGAAUAUUUGCUGGCAUGCUCUAUAAAAUAUCUCCAUCGUCUUCCUGUAGCUAUCAAACACAUGAAAAAGAAAAGGGAUAUAGUAUAAACAGGGAGAGAAAAUGAUUGUGAUGGUGAUUCUCUAUCAGACCCUGUGAGGAUUCCUGACUUUUUGCCUGAGUCCUUUCUUCUACUUCUUUUUUUUUUUAC